ACGGAGGGUGCAAGCGUUGUUCGGAAUUAUUGGGCGUAAAGAGCGUGUAGGCGGCCGGGUAAGUCAGAUGUGAAAUCCCUUGGCUCAACCAAGGAAGUGCAUUUGAAACUGUCCGGCUUGAGUACGAGAGGGGGAAGUGGAAUUCCCGGUGUAGAGGUGAAAUUCGUAGAUAUCGGGAGGAGCAGCGGUGGCGAAGGCGGCUUCCUGGAUCGAUACUGACGCUGAGACGCGAAAGCGUGGGGAGCAAACAG
rnacentral:rRNA from 1 species